rnacentral:tRNA from 1 species
AUUUUAAUAGUUUAAAAAAAAACGUUGAUUUUGUAAUUCAAAAAUACUUUAGUAAUGUUUAAGAUC